rnacentral:rRNA from 1 species
UCAGAUGAGGUAAUCCACCUGAAGAUACGCAGGUUUGGGCCUGGCUGGUUCUUGGAUGGGAGACCAACUAGGAUAGCUUGGAUUGGUUCUGGU